GUUCUGUAAGUUGAGCUAGCCGAGGCCCUGGUGUGGUGAUAUUGUGUCGCAGAGUCGAGAUCUCUGAUCGAUGAACCGUCAUUAAAUUCUCCCCUCCAUUUGCUCCUGCAGGGAACUCUGGAACAACGAUCUAUGCGGCGCGAUCCCGACUUCCGGACCGUUUCAGAACUUUCCUCCGAACAGCUUCGCCGGCAACCCGCGCCUGCGAAUCCCCGGCCAGCAGCAGGGAGCCGACUGCUAGAUCGACAUGGCAGCGGCCAGCGUGAAUAAGCGUAAGCGGGCGUCCAGGUUAAUUGCCAAGAGCUGGGAGUGUCAUUGCGAUGAUGCACGUAAUUAGCUGUGUGUGUGGAUGUGGCACAUCAGGGUGGGUGUCUAUCUCUUGUACAUGCCGUCCUGAUCAAGAGGUGAUCAGCCUCCAUAAUGAAAAUAUGCAAUCAAGCGCCUUGCCCUUUUGCCU